GAUUACUAUAGGAACAUAUCAAACGUGCUCGUGUACGGAACCUAACGGGACGCAAUGGACUGCAAAAAAUGGCGAUCCUUGCAUGACUGUAGCUCCGGGGUAUAAUGAAGAACUUACAAGAAAAUCUGGUACAUGCAAAAAUGGAACCUGCAUAUUGACUGAGAUUCAACGAGGAUGUCCAGAAAAUACAAGACUAGUAAAGGAAACAAACCAACCACAAAUCGGUUGUGCUUAUACCUGUUUCACCAGUAAACAAGAACGGAGGUAUGAUUAUUAUCCGGUUGGAACGAAUUGCACG